rnacentral:lncRNA from 1 species
CUGGUAAAUGUAGUGGUCCCAGCUCUAGCUCGGAGAUAAUACUUUACUCUGUCUUUGCAGGAGUGUGGUGGAUGGAGUCACGGCGCCCCCUGCCUCUCACACACAGAGGUCCGGUCCUGGUCCUGGUCCUGGUGGCGGAGGCGGGGAGUGGAGAGGAUGAGGAGGGAGGCUCAGCUCGCGGCGCAGAAAUACGACGAAGAGCGGCACCGAACAGAACGCACAACACCACGUACAUGAAGCUCAAAGCGGCUCAGAGUCCGCCUAAGUCCAGUCCUGAGAGCGAGGGUGAAGACCGAACGGCUCUGUCCCCCACAGCGUCCCAGAGCGCGGCGUAUCCCAGAGGCUCCGCCCUCCGGCCUGAGGUGAUCCUGCACCGCCUCGGGCACAAGACGACAGCAGGAGAGAACCCGCCUCGCCGCCUCCGCCGCAGGAGAAGUCGACCCCGGUGUUGGAGGGAGAGGACGCUCAGCUGGUGGAGCAGCUCCGGAAGAACAUCGAGGCUCGCCUGAAGGUGGCGCUGCCCACAGACCUGGGCGCGGGCUCUCACUGACGGAGUGGUGCUGUGUCAUCUGGCCAAUCACGUGCGACCGCGAUCUGUGCCCAGUAUACACGUGCCCUCGCCGCCGUGGUGAGAACUACUACUACUACUAUAUACUGCUGUUACUGUUACUACUACUGUU